AGAGAGAGACAUGCGCGCAUAUCAAUAAGCGGAGGAAAAGACACUAACAAGGAUUCCCCUAGUAACGGCGAGUGAAGCGGGAAGAGCUCAUAUUUGAAAUCUUAAAGGGUUUCCCUUUACGAAUUGUAGUUUAAAGAAGUGUUUUCUGUUGAGGUUUUGGUAAAAGUUCUUUGGAAUAGGACAUCAUAGAGGGUGAGAAUCCCGUAUUUGACCUUUACUUUCAACUUUGUGAUACACUUUCAAGGAGUCGGAUUGUUUGGGAAUGCAGUCCAAAAUGGGUGGUAAAUUUCAUCUAAAGCUAAAUAUUGGCGAGAGACCGAUAGCGAACAAGUACCGUGAGGGAAAGAUGAAAAGAACUUUGAAAAGAGAGUUAAACGGUACGUGAAAUUGUCAAAAGGGAAGCGUUUGACACCAGUGUUGUUUUUCUGAAAAUCAAUUAAAGAACUGUUUAUGCUAGUUGUUUAGACUUUAUCAGCUAACUGUUUAGUUUUGAGCUUUUCUUUAAUGCACUUUUCAGUUAACAAGUCAACAUCAAUUUCUUUUGCUGUAAAAAAGCUUGAGGAAGGUGGCUUGAGAUUCGUCUUAAGUGUUUAUAGCCUCUUGCCUAUGCAGUCGGAGAGAUUGAGGUCUGCAGCGUAGAUCCUUCGGGGCUAAAUGCAUUUGUGCUAAGUUAUAGCAUUUUAUAGACAACUUGUUGACUAUGAUUAGUCUUGUAGCUUACUCGCUUAUGUUAUUUUACCUACGCUUAGGAUGUUGAGCGCAUGUCUCUCUC
rnacentral:rRNA from 1 species